GAUGAACGCUGACAGAAUGCUUAACACAUGCAAGUCUUUGGCGAAGCUGUGCUUGCACAGCCUAGCCAAGGCGGACGGGUGAGUAAUGCGUAAGGAACUUGCCCUGCAGUCAGGGAUAACAGACGGAAACGACUGAUAAGACCUGGUAAAGUCAGGCGGACUCAUGUCCAGCCUGAUGAAAAGUGAUGCUGCAGGAGAGCCUUGCGUCCUAUUAGCUUGUUGGUGGGGUAACGGCCCACCAAGGCGAUGAUAGGUAGCCGGCCUGAGAGGGUGGACGGCCACAAGGGGACUGAGAUACGGCCCUUACUCCUACGGGAGGCAGCAGUGGGGAAUAUUGGACAAUGGGGGCAACCCUGAUCCAGCAAUUCUGUGUGCACGAUGAAGGUUUUCGGAUUGUAAAGUGCUUUCAGCAGGGAAGAAAAAAAUGACGGUACCUGCAGAAGAAGCGACGGCUAAAUACGUG
rnacentral:rRNA from 1 species